rnacentral:tRNA from 1 species
GGUAAGUUGGCUCAGUGGUAGAGUGUUUGCCUCGCAUGCAUGAGGCCCUGGGUUCGAUUCCUCAGCACCA